rnacentral:tRNA from 1 species
GAGGGUAUAGCUCAGUGGUAGAGAACAUGCUUGGUAUGUACUAGGUCCUGGGUUCAAUCCCCAGUGCCUCCA